rnacentral:rRNA from 1 species
GUCUAUGGCCAUACCACCCUGAACAAGUCCCAUACCAUCUGAUCUUGGAAGCUAAGCAGGGUCAGGCCUGGUUAGUGCUUGGAUGGGAGAUCACCUAGGAAGAUCAGGUGUGGUAGGCG